CCCACUGGCCUUGCCCUUUCCUAUUCUGAGCACGAUUCAUCGUGCUCGUGGGCGACUCCCAAGCGGAAGCAGCGGCGGCGCAUCUCGCUGUGGCCUGUGACUGUGCGAGCUGCGGAGGCCACAUCUCAGCCGGCAAGCAGGUAGCCAGUGCUGUGGCGACCGACGACGGGCGGCCGGUGACCAGCAACCAGCAGCCAGCAAGCACCGGCGCGUCAUCGAUCUCAAUUGCAGCAGGCAACUAGAUGAAGAAGAAGGCUACUAGCAGUAUAUUUACAUUAUGGGAGAAAGCAAA